UACGUAGGGUGCGAGCGUUGUCCGGAAUUACUGGGCGUAAAGAGCGUGUAGGCGGCUUUACAGGUCCGUUGUGAAAACUCGAGGCUCAACCUCGAGACGCCGGUGGAAACCGUAAGGCUAGAGUCCGGAAGAGGAGAGUGGAAUUCCUGGUGUAGCGGUGAAAUGCGCAGAUAUCAGGAAGAACACCCGUGGCGAAGGCGGCUCUCUGGGACGGUACUGACGCUGAGACGCGAAAGCGUGGGGAGCGAACAGG
rnacentral:rRNA from 1 species